AUUUAUAUAGUUUAUUAAAAACAUUACACUUUCACUGUAAAAACAAAGAGAAACUUUUAUAAAUA
rnacentral:tRNA from 6 species